UCCCUAGUAGUCUAGUGGUUAGGAUUCUGAGCUUUGAAUGUAGGGGGUGCAGGUUCAAUCCCUGGUUGGGGAA
rfam:TPA: Bos taurus chromosome 21, whole genome shotgun sequence.